UACGAAGGGGGCUAGCGUUGCUCGGAAUCACUGGGCGUAAAGGGUGCGUAGGCGGGUCUUUAAGUCAGGGGUGAAAUCCUGGAGCUCAACUCCAGAACUGCCUUUGAUACUGAGGAUCUUGAGUUCGGGAGAGGUGAGUGGAACUGCGAGUGUAGAGGUGAAAUUCGUAGAUAUUCGCAAGAACACCAGUGGCGAAGGCGGCUCACUGGCCCGAUACUGACGCUGAGGCACGAAAGCGUGGGGAGCAACAGGAUAGAUA
rnacentral:rRNA from 1 species